rnacentral:misc_RNA from 1 species
AACAUCGCGCACCUGCGGGAACCUGCGGAAGGAUCAUUACAGAGUUGCAAAACUCCCUAAACCAUUGUGAACGUUACCUAAACCGUUGCUUCGGCGGGCGGCCCGGGUCCUUCCCGGCGCCCAUCGGCCCUCGCGGGCGCCCGCCGGAGGUAAACCAAACUAUUGCAUUGUAUGGCCUCUCUGAGUCUUCUGUACCGAAUAAGUCAAAACUUUUAACAACGGAUCUCAGAUCGGAAGAGC